GACGAACGCUGGCGGCGUGCUUAACACAUGCAAGUCGAACGGUGAAGUUCCUUCGGGAAUGGAUUAGUGGCGAACGGGUGAGGAACACGUGAGAAACCUGCCUUUCAUUCUGGGAUAACUCCGGGAAACCGGGGCUAAAACCGAAUACUCCGUCUCGGCGGCAUCGCUGAGCCGGGAAAAAAUUUUGAUGAAAGAUGGUCUCGCGGCCUAUCAGCUAGUUGGUGAGGUAAUGGCUCACCAAGGCAACGACGGGUAGCCGGCCUGAGAGGGCGACCGGCCACACUGGGACUGAGACACGGCCCAGACUCCUACGGGAGGCAGCAGUGGGGAAUAUUGGGCAAUGGGCGCAAGCCUGACCCAGCGACGCCGCGUGAGGGAUGAAGGCCUUCGGGUUGUAAACCUCUUUCAGUAGGGAAGAAGCGAAGGUGACGGUACCUAAAGAAGAAGCACCGGCUAACUAUGUGCCAGCCGCCGCAGUAA
rnacentral:rRNA from 1 species